rnacentral:tRNA from 1 species
GGGGUAUAGCUCAGUGGUAGAGCACUUGCCUAGCAAGCACAAGGCCCUGGGUUCGGUCCCCAGCUCCG